CUUGGUCAUUUAGAGGAAGUAAAAGUCGUAACAAGGUCUCCGUUGGUGAACCAGCGGAGGGAUCAUUACCGAGUUUACAACUCCCAAACCCCUGUGAACAUACCACUUGUUGCCUCGGCGGAUCAGCCCGCUCCCGGUAAAACGGGACGGCCCGCCAGAGGACCCCUAAACUCUGUUUCUAUAUGUAACUUCUGAGUAAAACCAUAAAUAAAUCAAAACUUUCAACAACGGAUCUCUUGGUUCUGGCAUCGAUGAAGAACGCAGCAAAAUGCGAUAAGUAAUGUGAAUUGCAGAAUUCAGUGAAUCAUCGAAUCUUUGAACGCACAUUGCGCCCGCCAGUAUUCUGGCGGGCAUGCCUGUUCGAGCGUCAUUUCAACCCUCAAGCACAGCUUGGUGUUGGGACUCGCGUUAAUUCGCGUUCCUCAAAUUGAUUGGCGGUCACGUCGAGCUUCCAUAGCGUAGUAGUAAAACCCUCGUUACUGGUAAUCGUCGCGGCCACGCCGUUAAACCCCAACUUCUGAAUGUUGACCUCGGAUCAGGUAGGAAUACCCGCUGAACUUAAGCAUAUCAAUAAGCGGAGGA
rnacentral:ncRNA from 4 species